rnacentral:hammerhead_ribozyme from 1 species
AUCCAGCUGACGUGUCCAAAAUAGGACGAAACGGGCGUCAUACGGGAU